UACGGAGGGGGCGAGCGUUAUUCGGAAUUAUUGGGCGUAAAGGGCGCGUAGGCGGCUUGAUGUGUCAAAGGUGAAAUCCCUCGGCUCAACUGAGGAACUGCCUUUGAAACUGUCUGGCUUGAGGUCGGGAGAGGGUAGCGGAAUUCCCAGUGUAGCGGUGAAAUGCGUAGAUACUGGGAGGAACACCGGUGGCGAAGGCGGCUACCUGGACCGGAACUGACGCUGAGGCGCGAAAGCGUGGGUAGCAAACAGG
rnacentral:rRNA from 1 species